rnacentral:rRNA from 1 species
GAGUUUGAUCUUGGCUCAGAUUGAACGCUGGCGGCGUGCUUAACACAUGCAAGUCGAGCGGUAACAGGUGUAGCAAUACAUGCUGACGAGCGGCGAACGGGUGAGUAAUGCUUCGGAAUCUGCCCUGUAGUGGGGAAUAACCAGCCGAAAGGUUGGCUAAUACCGCAUACGAACUACGGUUGAAAGCGGGGGAUCGCAAGACCUCGCGCUAUAGGAUGAGCCGAAGUCGGAUUAGCUAGUUGGUAGGGUAACGGCCUACCAAGGCGACAAUCCGUAGCUGGUCUGAGAGGACGACCAGCCACACUGGGACUGAGACACGGCCCAGACUCCUACGGGAGGCAGCAGUGGGGAAUAUUGGACAAUGGGGGCAACCCUGAUCCAGCCAUGCCGCGUGUGUGAAGAAGGCCUUCGGUUGUAAG